CUUCAUACCUUGCAGGGGAAAUACUCUGUCAUAAAAGUAGUUUUCCUAGGGAGAAGGCUCAUCCAUGGUACUUUGGAUAUAUUGCUGAUCCCUGAGGUUUCCCCAAGUGAGGGGAAUUCAUGUGUAUAAUUUAUGUUGAUGAGGUAGUUACAUUUGUGAUUUCCUA
rnacentral:snRNA from 1 species